rnacentral:tRNA from 1 species
GCUCGAGUGGUGGAAUGGUAGACACUGGGGACUUAAAAUCCCCUGAGCAGUAAUGCUCGUGUGGGUUCGACUCCCAUCUCGAGUA